AACGAACGCUGGCGGCAUGCCUAACACAUGCAAGUCGAACGCUGUAGCAAUACAGAGUGGCAGACGGGUGAGUAACGCGUGGGAACGUGCCUUUCGGUUCGGAAUAACUCAGGGAAACUUGAGCUAAUACCGGAUACGCCCUUCGGGGGAAAGAUUUAUUGCCGAAAGAGCGGCCCGCGGCCGAUUAGCUAGUUGGUGUGGAACUGGCGCACCAAGGCGGCGAUCGGUAGCUGGUCGGAGAGGAUGAUGAGCCACACUUGGACUGCGACACGGCCCAGACUGCGAGCGGAGGCGGCAGUUGGGAAUAUUAGAAAGUGGGCGCACGCCUCAUCCAGCAAUGCCGCGUGAGUGAUGAAGGCCUUAGGGUUGAAAAGCUCUUUCGCACGCGACGAUGAUGACGGUAGCGUGAGAAGAAGCCCCGGCUAACUUCGUGCCAGCAGCCGCGGUAACAC
rnacentral:rRNA from 1 species